rnacentral:rRNA from 1 species
AGUCUGCCUUGAAGAUCGGAGUGCUUGCACUCUGUGAAACAAGAUACAGGCUAGCGGCGGACGGGUGAGUAACACGUGGGUAACCUGCCCAAGAGAUCGGGAUAACACCUGGAAACAGAUGCUAAUACCGGAUAACAACAGAUGAUGCCUAUCAACUGUUUAAAAGAUGGUUCUGCUAUCACUCUUGGAUGGACCUGCGGUGCAUUAGCUAGUUGGUAGGGUAACGGCCUACCAAGGCGAUGAUGCAUAGCCGAGUUGAGAGACUGAUCGGCCACAUUGGGACUGAGACACGGCCCAAACUCCUACGGGAGGCAGCAGUAGGGAAUCUUCCACAAUGGACGCAAGUCUGAUGGAGCAACGCCGCGUGAGUGAAGAAGGGUUUCGGCUCGUAAAGCUCUGUUGUUGGUGAAGAAGGACAGGGGUAGUAACUGACCUUUGUUUGACGGUAAUCAAUUAGAAAGUCACGGCUAACUACGUGCCAGCAGCCGCGGUAAUACGUAGGUGGCAAGCGUUGUCCGGAUUUAUUGGGCGUAAAGCGAGUGCAGGCGGCUCGAUAAGUCUGAUGUGAAAGCCUUCGGCUCAACCGGAGAAUUGCAUCAGAAACUGUCGAGCUUGAGUACAGAAGAGGAGAGUGGGACUCCAUGUGUAGCGGUGAAAUGCGUAGAUAUAUGGAAGAACACCGGUGGCGAAGGCGGCUCUCUGGUCUGUUACUGACGCUGAGGCUCGAAAGCAUGGGUAGCGAACAGGAUUAGAUACCCUGGUAGUCCAUGCCGUANACGAUGAGUGCUAAGUGUUGGGAGGUUUCCGCCUCUCAGUGCUGCAGCUAACGCAUU